GACAGAGGGUGCAAACGUUGUUCGGAAUUACUGGGCGUAAAGCGUGUGUAGGCGGCUCGGCAAGUCGGGUGUGAAAGCCCUGGGCUUAACCUAGGAAGUGCACUCGAAACUGCCAAGCUUGAGUUCUGGAGAGGAAGGCGGAAUUCUCGGUGUAGAGGUGAAAUUCGUAGAUAUCGAGAGGAACACCGGUGGCGAAGGCGGCCUUCUGGACAGCAACUGACGCUGAGACGCGAAAGCGUGGGGAGCAAACAGG
rnacentral:rRNA from 1 species